rnacentral:rRNA from 1 species
UGCAUGUGUAAGUUUAAAGACCAAGUAGGAUGAAACUGCGGACGGCUCAUUAUAACAGUAAUAGUUUCUUUGGUUAGUCGGUACAAGGAUAACUUUGUGAAUGAUAAAGCUAAUACUUGAGACGAUCCGGGGAGUAUCAAUACUUUUCGGCCGUUGGCCGCAAGGCUGGCGAGAAACGACAUUCUCUUGUGAAAAAGGAUGCCGCGACAAUUGAGGAAAGCGACGCUUUUAACAAGUAACCAAUGGGAAUUUCUGAUCUAUCAAUUUGUUGGUAGUAUCGAGGACUACCAAGAUUAUAACGGAUAACGAGGAAUUGGGGUUCGACAUCGGAGAGGGAGCUUUACAGAUGGCUACCACUUCUAAGGAAGGCAGCAGGCGCGUAAAUUACCCACUUUCGACUUGAAGAGGUAGUGACGACAAAUAACUCUUGGCGCCCUUCGGGGUGACUUGAAGGAAUGAUUUAGAAGUAAAUUCUCUAAAGAAAUCAAUUGGAGGGCAAGUCUGGUGCCAGCAGCCGCGGUAAUUCCAGCUCC